GACAGAGGCCUCAAGCGUUAGGCGGAAUCACUGGGCUUAAAGCGUGUGUAGGCGGAUGCCUAAGUACCUUGUGAAAUCCCACGGCUCAACCGUGGAACUGCUGGGUAUACUGGGCGUCUUGGGCCAUUCAGGGGCGACUGGAACAAGCGGUGGAGCGGUGAAAUGCGUAGAUAUCGCUUGGAACGCCGAAGGUGAAAACAGGUCGCUGGGGAUGUGCCGACGCUGAGACACGAAAGCCAGGGGAGCGAACGGG
rnacentral:rRNA from 1 species